rnacentral:lncRNA from 1 species
CUUGUGUGACCAUUUCUGGAUGAUGUAAAAUAGCACACUAUCUUUAGUUUGGAAGCAUAUUAAUUUAUCUGGAUUUUUUUUUACUUGAGGGGUAAACUCAUGUUGAGGAUUUCUUUAAAAAUGGGUAAUUCAAUCCAACAACUAGACCUUAUGUGGGGUGAUUCUUUUUUACUUUAAGGUGGGAGGGCAAAGAGUGUUUUUCAAAAACUAAUUUCCUAAUUUUCAAUUUCUAGAGAUCUUUUAAAGCCAUCAGAACUAUUGCUGCCUAAGACAUGCAUGGCAAAUAAAAGUGUCUCACUGGAUUUCAAAUAAGGGGAAUAAUCAAUGUUAAGUGCUGCCUUGUUGGAUUUCUUCCUGAUUUUUUUGAAGCUCCACUUCUUCUGUUUCAGAGCUAUGUUUCCCCAGUGGGCUACCACAUCUCUGGGUUUCCAGUACUUGGAAUUUUGCUUCCCAGUUGCAGAGCUAAGAAGCCAAUUCACAUUCCAUCGUUGUCCUAAAGUCUUUUUCCUAUUUUGAAUAUCCCAUCUUGUCUGGAUUUAUCAAGGGGUAAGAAAUAUGUAUUACUUUGACCUGAAAAAUUCCUUGCUGAGUCCCACUCCAUUAGAAAACAAUAAUAUUUAAAAGAAAUCAGCCAAUCACAAUUCCUAGG